ACCCUUGAAAGAGUGCGUAAUAGCUCACUGGUCGAGCGUCUCUGCGCCGAAAAUGUAGGGGGCUAAGCCCGCCGCCGAAGCUGCGGAAUGCGCGCAAAUUGCGCGGAUUGGUAGGGGAGCGUUCCAUGCGGGGAGAAGUCGGGUUGAGAAGCCCGGUGGACUGCAUGGAAGUGAGAAUGUCGGCAUGAGUAGCGAAAAACACGUGGGAAACGUGUUCACCGAAAGCCCAAGGUUUCCUGGGGAAGGUUCAUCCACCCAGGGUUAGGCGGGACCUAAGGCGAGGCCGAGAGGCGUAGUCGAUGGACAGCCGGUUGACAUUCCGGCCCCGCCCCGGUGACGAUUGGACCGAAGGGGUGACGCAGGAGGCUAGGUGUGCCGGGUGAUGGAAGUCCCGGUCCAAGGGUGUAGGGGGACUCUGGAGGCAAAACCCUGGAGUCGGAACCCUGAGGCCUGACGGGGAGUCCCGUUUGGGACGAAGGCAUUGAGGCCAUGCUGCCGAGAAAAGCCUCUAGGGAGGAGCCGGGGCGCCCGUACUGGAAACCGACACAGGUGGGCUGGCUGAGCAGGCUAAGGCGGACGGGAUAACUCUCGUUAAGGAACUCUGCAAGUUGACCCCGUAACUUCGGGAGAAGGGGUGCCACCCUGGUGAAGCGUUAAGCAUGUCCGAGCCGAGGGUGGUCGCAGAAACCAGGCCCAGGCGACUGUUUAAUAAAAACACAGGUCUCUGCUGAAGGCGUGAAGCCGACGUAUAGGGACUGACACCUGCCCGGUGCUGGAAGGUUAAGGGGAGAGGUUAGCCGCAAGGCGAAGCUUUGAACCGAAGCCCCAGUAAACGGCGGCCGUAACUAUAACGGUCCUGUCGGGUAAGUUCCGACCUGCACGAAUGGUGUAACGAUCUGGGCGCUGUCUCGACGGGAGACCCGGCGAAAUUGUGGAACUGGUCAAGACGCCAGUUGCCCGUGGUGGGACGGAAAGACCCCGUGGAGCUUUACUGUAUCCUGAUAUUGGAUUUCGGCAAGGCAUGUACAGGAUAGGUGGGAGGCAUGGAAGCGAGGGCGUCAGCCUUCGUGGAGCCGACGUUGGGAUACCACCCUUGUUUUGCUGGGAUUCUAACCGCCGUGUCUGAAUCGGCAGGCGGGACCGUGUCAGGUGGGCAGUUUGACUGGGGCGGUCGCCUCCCAAAGAGUAACGGAGGCGCGCGAAGGUCACCUCAGGGCGAAUGGAAACCGCCCGUUGAGUGCAAGGGUAUAAGGUGGCCUUACUGUGAGACCGACGGGUCGAGCAGUCACGAAAGUGGGUCCUAGUGAUCCGGCGGUACCGAGUGGAAGGGCCGUCGCUCAUCGGAUAAAAGCUACCCCGGGGAUAACAGGCUUAUCUCCCCCAAGAGUUCACAUCGACGGGGAGGUUUGGC
rnacentral:rRNA from 1 species